UGGGGAAUAUUGCACAAUGGACGAAAGUCUGAUGCAGCAACGCCGCGUGGAGGAUGACACAUUUCGGUGCGUAAACUCCUUUUAUGUGAGAAGAUAAUGACGGUAUCACAUGAAUAAGCACCGGCUAACUCCGUGCCAGCAGCCGCGGUAAUACGGAGGGUGCAAGCGUUACUCGGAAUCACUGGGCGUAAAGCGCGCGCAGGCGGCUUUGUAAGUUGGAUGUGAAAUCCUAUGGCUCAACCAUAGAACUGCAUCCAAAACUACUUAGCUAGAGUCUGGGAGGGGAAGAUGGAAUUAUAGUGUGUGAGGGGGGUAAAAAUCCGUAAAGAUCACUAGGGAAAUACCAAAAGCCGAAGCGCGAUCUUCUGGAACAGUACUGACGCUGAGGCGCGAAAGCGUGGGGAGCAAACA
rnacentral:rRNA from 1 species